GUUAUUUAUGUAGGCAGUAGAACUUUAAGCAGCACAAUUUAACAUUACAUUUGAAGAAUAGCUGUGCCAGUAUCAGCCCAACAGCAUUUCCUACACAACAAUUAGCUUAAAGGGCCCAUAUCAUGCAAAAUCCACUUUUUAGACAUUUUGGAGCGUCCCUAUGACUCUAUGGGUCACAUAUACACACACUGAGCACGGUAGAAAUGCAUUUCCUGCUUUUUUCACAUUUUGAAAACGUAAAUUUUCUCAUCCAAUGAAAACAGCCACGACCUACUCUGAGGCCGUGUCCCAGUUGUCGUCACACUGGUUGAAAGUUCUCCUUGCAAAUCCUGAACCACCACCCCCACAAUGAUCCCGAACCAAAACUGGACUUCCGCCCAUUUCCCCCCUCUCACUCACCGUGAACAGACCAGCACGGCCGCGCCCAAGUCCUCCCAUAGAAAUAGUUCGGUUCUUGGGUGUUCUAACCAACACCAAAGUCUAUUCACUUUAACAAGGGAUCAACAAGUGAGGAUUUGUGGGUCACUUUUAUUUUUAACGGACCGGUGCCAGAAACACUGCCUCAGCAUUUAUACGUAUGUGCAUUUCAAACGAGGGUGCGUACAAUGCUGGAUUUGUUUCACGGCUCCUGUUGGAAAAAAAGGACCUAUUCCUAAAGUCCGUCAUCCACUCACUGAAGAGGGCAAAUCCCAGUUGCCCACAUGCAAGGAGGCUGUCAAACAGAGAAAUCACUGCAGACUGUUGGUACACAGACAUCUGCUGCCCAGCUCAGGAGUGAAGGUAUGUAAGUUUGUAUGUACCAACAGUAAGAUAGGUAAUAGAAGAUUUUAACUGGUAUAUACUGUUUAGAUUUUAUAUUUGAAUUGUAACAACUGUUUAUCUGUUGUUUUAGCACAGACAGGCCUGUCCUCUUGUUUGGUUUAAUUUUUUGUCUGGUAUUGUGUGUUCUUACAUUAGAGAAGGUUUUGACCUACAUAAUAAUGAACAUUUCACUAAUCUACAAUUCUGAUUGCAGUACCUUUUGUUUUGAUGAGGUGAUGGUGAGGACAGCCACAGCUUCCAUCUGGUAGAGGACUGCUUCCGCUCAGUCUUCCAAAUAGUGAUGAGAACAAGGAUCACCACAUCUCCCUGUUUACCCUACUUUCAUGCAUUUCGUCUGCAAGGCCCUGCAAAAGCUUCUCCUUCGUCCUCAAACCCCCAGACUUCUUAAUUAACUCAGUAACCUAUACAUUGCACAUUGGAGUGUGAAGGUAACAGUUUGUUCUAGCUUUGGAGUAGUGGUGCAUUUUUUUGGUUUACAAUAAAGUUGGCUUUAACUAUUAUGUAUUUCA
rnacentral:lncRNA from 1 species